ensembl:lncRNA
UCCAUAUUAAAUCCUUGUUUGUAGAAGUGUAGUGUGGAAGCAAGCGGUUGUACUGAAUAUCGGCGCGGCUGCGGUUACCCGUGGCCUCGUCCCUGUAGCCCGGUCACGGUCCUGUUCAUAUUCACUGCAGCAGCUCUCUUCCUCAUGUGAUAUUGCUUCAUUAUUUUUUACACACCAGUCCUUAUUUCUUCUUUUUAAAUUAUUAUCAAUUUCUAAUUGUUCCAUCGAAUCAUUUCUGUUGUUUCCUUUAAAAUCCUUCAGAUUGUCAUCUCUAGGCUAGUUUUAUACACUACUCUACUUUUAUACACUAGGCUAGUUUUAUACACUACUCUAGUUUUAUACACUACUCUACUUUUAUACACUAGGCUAGUUUUAUACACUAGGCUAGUUUUAUACACUAGGCUAGUUUUAUACACUACUCUAGUUUUAUACACUAGGCUAGUUUUAUACACUAGGCUAGUUUUAUACACUACUCUACUUUUAUACACUAGGCUAGUUUUAUACACUACUCUAGUUUUAUACACUACUCUAGUUUUAUACACUAGGCUAGUUUUAUACACUAGGCUAGUUUUAUACAUUAGGCUAGUUUUAUACACUAGGCUAGUUUUAU